UGUUCUUGUGAGAGCGUUCACCAUGGGCA
rnacentral:piRNA from 1 species